rnacentral:rRNA from 1 species
CCUACGGGUGGCAGCAGUGGGGAAUAUUGGGCAAUGGGCGCAAGCCUGACCCAGCAACGCCGCGUGAAGGAAGAAGGCUUUCGGGUUGUAAACUUCUUUUAAGAGGGAAGAGCAGAAGACGGUACCUCUUGAAUAAGCCACGGCUAACUACGUGCCAGCAGCCGCGGUAAUACGUAGGUGGCAAGCUUUAUCCGUAUUUAUUGGGUUAAAGGGGUGCGUAGGCGGAUCGUGAAGUCAGUGGUCAAAUUGAGGGGCUCAACCCCUUCCCGCCAUUGAAACUGGCGCUCUUGAGUGGAAGAGAAGUAGGCGGAAUGCGUGGUGUAGCGGUGAAAUGCGUAGAUAUCACGCAGAACCCCGAUUGCGAAGGCAGCAUGCCGGCUUCCGACUGACGCUGAAGCACGAAAGCGUGGGGAUCGAACAGGAUUAGAUACCCGAGUAGUC